rnacentral:rRNA from 1 species
AUGGCCUCCCUCACGAUGCUAUCCUCUUGGGUCAUCUGGAACGAGCGCAACUCAUGGAUGUUUCAGCACAAGUCCAUGCCACCACCAAUUUUGCUCACCAUCAUCAAGGAGAAGGCCGUUCUUUGGAGUAUUGCGGGUGCCAAGCAUUUGGGUAAACUAAUGUCUAGAGAGUGA